rnacentral:piRNA from 1 species
UGACUCAGUGGGCAAGAAGCACCCUGUAGGU